CCUGUUUUGAGAACAGUGGGGUGGUGGAUAGAAGUGGGAACCCAGUCUAGAGCAGGAGCCUGGGGACCAAACAUGCUUUUCCCUCACAGCCAUGAGGCCCACCGGGAACCAGGCUCCAGGCAAGGGGGCCACCCCUUCUUCCAUGCUGGUGGCCUUGCAGAGGAUCUGGACUCCAGCUCUGCCUCUUACUGGGAUUCCUCUGCAUCAGCUCUGUGUGCCUCAGUUUCCCCAGCUGCAGAAUAGGGGCCAAAUCCGCAUCAUGGGGAAAAGGCUCCAUGUAACACAAAUUUCUGCUCCUGCCAUCUUGCAGUCAGAAUGUAGGCUGAGGAGGGGAAGAGCUCCCAGGGCGGGGCUUUGGCUUGGUUGAAGAAUCACCUGUCUGGUUAUUCGCCUACCUGGUGAGAGGGAUCUGGUGGGAAUGCCAAAAAAAUGGAUUCAACUGGCAGUGAGGGUGUUGAAGCUGCUUCAUGCCCCCAGCUGCAGGGCCUCUGAGCUCCCUAAAAGAUUAUGAGGCCUGGCCCAGCAGUGCAGCCAAGGGUGGUGCUGGGAUGACCGGCUCUGGGCUCCUGGGGAGCUUGCAUGUGGCUCAGCUGAAACCCUGCAGCUGCCAGCCUGCCUGCUGUGUCCAAGGCUGUGCCUGCUGUGGACAUCUGAUGUAAACAGAGGUAUGACUGUGGCCUCUGAGCCAGGCUUUGUUACUUAGCACAGCAGUUUUGUAGUGGUUCUGGGGACUCCAUUCCUUGUUAGGGCUGAAUUGGUCCAUAGCCCUUCAGCUCAUGUCAUCCUGAAGCAGGUGAGGGAUCGCUAGGCCGCUGGCUGCUGGCCUCAGGGCAGGUUAAGCCGGGGCUCUAGGCAUUGGGGUGCCCAGCAGGCAUUGGGCUCCCACUGUGGUGGGUGGAGCUGGCUCCACUCACCCUGCCUUUGUGGCUGCUUCUCCCCAGACCAUGCCCUGGUUGCCCGGGCCCAGCAUAUGGUGACUUUCGACAGCCAGGUGUGGGACCUCAGCACCCAGUGUGGCAGCAUCCUGCUGGUCCAAGACUUUGCUCACAACACAUUCUCCCUGCUGCUGAGUUGGACGGAUUCGGGGCUCACGGCCCUGAUUGUGGAGCUGAACCACGUGACCGUCAUCUUCUACCCCAGCUUGCAGGGGAGAGCUGUCCAGACCUCCAGCUGCUUCUUGCCAUGAAAAGGAGGGACGUCCCCAGGAUUGAGCUGGCCAGUGAGGAUGGGUUCUCCAUCUCCUGUGACAUGCCCACUGGCCUCUGCAGCCUGACUCUAGGCCUCUGGCACCACGGUCCCCAGGCUCUCAGGACCUUCUCAGCUUCCCUCCUCCCCACAGGCAUAUCCACUGGCCUUCUGGGCACCAAAGACUAUAAAGCAGGCAAUGAGCUGAUGUUGCCAGAUGGCUCUGUGGCCUGCAGCCUGGAGGAGCUCAGCCUGGCAGGUGGAUGGUGACUAUAGGGCCACUGAGAAGACUCAGCAGACCUGCCCAGCCUUCUUCCAGGACCCGGGCUCCAGCUUGGGGAACUGCUUCUGGGUGGCAA
rnacentral:lncRNA from 1 species